AAUCGGCACUGGCAGCCUUUGCAGGGCUGGCGCUCUUGCCGUGCGUGAUUUGGAAAUAGCUAGAGGCGUAACUGGUUCCUGACCCCAUUCCCGUUGUGCAACAGCAGCGUAGAGUCCCAAAGACAUGCCUGUGUGCAGCGUUCGUCCAGAUCCUGCCCUCCACCCCCAGCCUAUGGGGCUUUGAGCCAUGGGCAAGAUGGAGGAAAAUGGGAUGAAAGCUGAUAGGAUCUGGACGAGCCAUUAAGCACCAAACCCAGCCACUGGGCUUGGCAUGUGCGUGAGACCGAUUGCAGGCGAUGAAGCACAGCGGAUUCACCAGGGAUGAAAUGCCAUGUUCUCAUGAGCCAACUCAGUACUGAUCAUUUUCAGUAGACGCAUCGCCCAGGAUGGGAGCAGCAGGAGGGAAGCAACGUUUCUGCAGCGAAACCCUCUGCAGAUUCCUGCAUUUCACAGGCGUGGAACUUGAAACUUUGGACGUCCAUACCCACUGCAGAAUUUCAAAAGACCAAACCCCUUUUUUUGGCAGCUAGCUGGCACUGUGGGAGGAUGGCAAACAUCUGUGUUUCUCAGAGACGGCUGCCGAACUGCAUCCUGUGUGAUAAAGGCUCAGUGGACGCUGCCAUAUCGCUAAUUCUAAUAUCAAUUCAUCACGCUUUCUCUUUCGAUCUUAUCCAUCUCCUCUAUGGAAUCUAAUGACUCAUUAACACUAAAGGCUCUGUUUUAUACUGCAUAUGAUAGCUCUCCUUAAAAUGGUCAUAAAUUGGCCUAAUCUCUAUUAAGAUUGCAUGCUUCAAGCUUAUGUUUGACAUGUGAGACUCUACCGGGUUUAAUAACGUAAUCAAGUUAUUUAUGCACUCAUCCAUUUCUCUUCCUUCUCUUGUCCCUUAAUCAAAUUUUAACAUACGACACUCUGCAUUCGUGUGAUCUGUGUUUUUUUUUCCCCAGGGGAAAUAAUAGUAAUAAAAUCAAUAAAUCUGAUGAGAUCUGAUGCAAUUAACUAAAUGAGUUGUGUUACUACUGCCUGUCCAACUCUGGGAAAUGCAUUAAUGGGGUUACUGUGCUUUGUCAGUGAGUAACGACUUUGCUGUCUACUGCACGUAUGUUAUAGAUUUCUGGCACAUUAUCACUCAUAAUCAGUGGUUAUAAUUCUUUGAUUCUGGCGUGUAAUUAAUGCCAUUCACUGGGGAUGGAUUAGCAAUCUACGCCAGUCUGCUAGGAAGGCUGCUGCUACUCCCUCCAUUUGCGGUAAUUACAUUCUGCCCAAAUUAUGUUGUACUAUGUAAAGGAAAGACAAAAAAAGGUGGGGAAUCCUGGCAUAUUUUCAUGAUCCCAUAGUCCACAUGCAACACACUCCUGAAUUAAACUUUUGCUGAAAUGAUGCUGAAAUUCUAACACUAACUACUGUUAGAACCUUAGUAUUAGCUAAAUGCUCACAGCUGUAGCUGAAGUCUGGAUGGUCGUCCUGGAUGUGGCUCAGGUUUCACAGAUGUUUCACGGAGGCACAUUGACAUACAACCAGCACAUGACCCGAUAUACCAGUGAGAAUCAGGAGAAAACCCCUUUUCAUUUAAAAGGUAAUGAAAACUGAAACAACCACUUUUGUUAGUUUUUUAUAUUCCUUAAAGCUCCCCCCCAAAAAAACAAUAGGCAUUUCAUAGUCAGAGUCAUACACCAAUCUCAUUCCCAUACUUGAUGCUCAUCAUUGUUGUUUGCACUUUAUGUAUAUUACUUAUCUUGUAUAUAAUCUAUGUGUAGCGUGUAUAUUGUGUCUUGUCUGCAAAAUAUAUGCACAUAUAUUGACUGUAUAACUUGGGUUGCCAAAUUUGGUCAGGUCAACCAAAAAAGUCUGAUCAGCUAGACUUCACGAAACCCUCACAUCAGUGUACAGGAAGUCACCAUAAAAGGCUGCAAGCACUUUCACACUUUUUCAAGAGGGGUCCCAGUGCUGAGCUCCACAUCUCCACAAUUUGCAGUUUCAUUACAGGAACCAAUCAAAUUUCACAUUAUUGUAUGGCUGUCUCCAUUGAUCAGCCAAUCAUGUUUCAACUUCAACUUUCAUUGCAUACACUAAAUAAUGGGUGCGUUUCACUUGGGCUUAGGUCUGUCUGCAGCUGACGUGACGUGGAACGAGAUCUGCCAGCGGCUGCAGGGGAGGAGUAUAAACUGACCACAGCCAAGCCGGACAACUUCUACUCCUCGUAGUGCGAGACCUGACUGCGAUGACAGCACUGCCAGAAGGGUGAAGAUAAAUCUAUACAAAUAUCACCUGCAUGCACAUUACUUCUUUUACAAUAACCAACUCCUGAUAAAAACUGUUAAAAAAAAAACUAUUGUGUAUAGUGGCCCUGUGUAAAAAUAUAGCUGCCAGGGAAACGAUCAAAUACAUUUAUUCCAAGGAUUCAAAGUUUUUAUUGUCAUGUACAGAGUACAAUGCCAUUCUUACUUGAAUGCAUUCUUCACAGACUAGACGAUUAAACAAUUAAAGCAGCACAACAUUACAGUAACUAACAAUAAAUAAACAACUAACUCACAUGUACUA